GUGUGUGGUAGUGUGUGGUAGUGUGUAUGGUAGUGUGUAUGGUAAUGUGUAUUGUCAUGUGCAUGGUAGUGUGUGUGUGGUAAUGUGUGGUAGUGUGUAUGGUAGUGUGUGUGGUAGUGUGUAUGGUAGUGUGUAUGGUAGUGUGUGGCAGUGUGUAUGGUAGUGUGUGUGGUAGUGUGUGUGUGUGUGUGGUAGUGUGUAUGGUAGUGUGUGGCAGUGUGUAUGGUAGUGUGUGUGGUAGUGUGUGUGGUAGUGUGUGUGGUAGUGUGUGUGUGUGUGGCAGUGUGUAUGGUAGUGUGUGUGGUAGUGUGUGUGGUAGUGUGUAUGGUAGUGUGUAUGGUAAUGUGUGUGUGGUAGUGUGUAUUGUCAUGUGCAUGGUAGUGUGUGUGUGUGUGUGUGUGGUAAUGUGUGGUAGUGUGUGUGGUAGUGUGUGUGGUAGUGUGUAUGGUAGUGUGUGUGGUAGUGUGUAUAGUAGUGUGUGUGUGUGUGGUAGUGUGUAUGGUAGUGUGUGUGUGGUAGUGUGUAUGGUAGUGUGUGUGUGUGUGUGUGUGUGUGUGUGUGGUAGUGUGUGUGGUAGUGUGUAUAGUAGUGUGUGUGUGUGUGGUAGUGUGUAUGGUAGUGUGUGUGUGGUAGUGUGUAUGGUAGUGUAUGGUAGUGUGUGUGGUAGUGUGAAUAGUAGUGUGUGUGUGUGUGUGGUAGUGUGUGUGGUGGUGUACAGUAGAGUAUGUUGUAGUGUGUGUGGUAGUGUGUAUGGUAGUGUAUGGUAGUGUGUGUUGUAGUGUGUGUGGUAGUGUGUAUGGUAGAGUAUGGUAGUGUGGGUUGUAGUGUGUGUGGUAGCGUACAGUAGUGUGUGUUGUAGUGUGUGUGGUAGUGUGUAUGGUAGUGUAUGGUAGUGUAUGGUAGUGUGGGUUGUAGUGUGUGUGGUAGUGUACAGUAGAGUGUGCUGUAUGUUUGUUUGUGUGUUAAGGUGUGUCCUUAUGUGUGUCAGAAGAACAUGUGUACCAGGAGUGGGAGUAAGGUAGUAGAGAAUGACAGGUGUGUGUUAGAGAGGUGUGCAUGUAUAGGAAGGAAAUGUGUGUGUGUGUGUGUGUGUGUGUGUGUGUGUGUGUGUGUGUGUGUGUGUG
rnacentral:lncRNA from 1 species